rnacentral:lncRNA from 1 species
ACGAGGCAGCCUGCCUGUGCCCCGAGCCACAUCGACGACGGGGAUGAUAUCCCUAGUGUCAUCGGGAUUGAGUUGACCCUCUCUUUUGCCCAUCGCCUCCCUCCGUCUCCUAUCGCCAUGGCUAAAGACAUCGCCAACUAGCUACCGUCGCCCCCGUAGCCACCGAGUCCCCCAUGCCAUUCCCCCGUGUCUAGAAGAAUCGCGACGUCGUCCUCGACCUCCUCACCAAGCCAAGCAACUGGAGGCAUCCUGUGUCCUCUCCAUCGACGUCGUCUUCAAGCUUCGGCUCGGACGCACCUCUCCGGCGAUUCACGGCCAUCUGCGCCUCCCCGAGGUUGCCAUCUGUCUCAUCCGACUAACCGUGAGUUCCUGCGUCUAACCCCCUAACCUCGUGGCUUGUCCCUCGCCGUAGUCGUCGCCCCCUUGUUGACAUUGGCACACUACCGCUUGAGCUCGUUGUCGAUGCAGCUCCGGUGACCUUAGGGUCCCAUGAGUGUGCCCGUUGGGGUCGUGUGCGUGCGUAGGUUUGACUGGUGCUAGACUUUGCCCCUGACAUGCACUGCAAUGCCGAAACCGCUGAAUCUCGAGAUCCGGCGCCCGCCCACGUCAUUGUUGAUGUCGCCGUAGACCUCACCGCACCUAUCGAGCUGCACCACUUGAGGCGGUGGAUGCCCAACCACUCAUAGAGCCGCUACGCCGCUAAUUUUGUUGCUGGAGGCGCGAUUCCGAUGUCGUCCGCUGUCUCUGGAGACGUCAGUGAUGAGCUGUGGGUCAACUCUGGCGAGUUUGACCCCGGUUGACUAGGAUUUGACCCUGUGGGUCAGUGACAGGUGGGGCCUCGCCCCUAGUUAAUUAAGAGGUUAGUUGUUAAUUUUAAUAACUAGAUUAACUAACCUAAUGACCCACUGACCAGUGGGUCCAGAUCUUAUUAACUAUUAGUUAGUUUAUAAUUAAACAUGAUUGUUACCCUGAGCCACUGACCAGUGGGCUCCACUAGUCAGGUUUGACCUGGACCCAACCUCUUGACCUGCUCACGUCACCGAGACGCAAUGCUGAUCCAAUAAACCCUUUUCUGCUUCAAAUAUAAUUUAGUAAAUUUCAGAAAAUGUUAUAAACUUUUAAAAUCGUAGAAAUUCAACCAUAACUCACAUGAAAAUAAUUUAUAUGUGAAACAUUAUCACAAAAAUGCAAGGAAUCUGUAUAUGCCAUGUUCAUGCAUGUUUAAACAAGUUAACAUCACCAAGUAGGACAUUUCAUGAUUAGGACCAAUUUGAUAAAUGGUUUGGAGUUGCAAUUUGAUGUCUAAUUGAAUUCCACUUCAAUUAAUAUAACAAAAUAUUGAGCUAGGUGAAUUCAGUACCUUAACAUGCCAUAUCAUACAUCAUGUUUGUUGCAUUGCAUUGAAUGUGUUCCUUUCUUAUUUUGUCGGUUUUGGUCCUCCUCGGUAGACGAUGGUUCUCAUGUUGUGAUUGCUGAAACCAAUGAAGACUCAUUGUUACCUUCAGAACUGUCAGGCAAGCAACCCCCUUGAGCAUUUCGAUACAAUCCCAUUCUCUCUCUCCUGCCCUCUUAUACUACAUUAGGACAAUCACGAUUUAAUUAUUACCUAUUCUCGGUAGUUGAACCCAUUCCUUUGCAUGACCUGUCUUUGCCACAGUAAAUAGUUGAAACCACUUAUCAUGAGUAGCAACUGCUUUAGCCUUGUUGUGCUCACUCAUCAUGCUUGCUUACUGUGCCUACUAUCCUUAGAGUCGUGUUUGGUCUGAUCCAUCUGGAUGAUGAAUCGUAAUGGUUGUAUUCAUGUCCUACUGUGUGAGAGUAAAGUGUGUGAAUCCGAUUUGGUAAAGGUAGUGAUGAGAGUCCAUGUAGGGGGUACAUGGCGGGUUGUCUCAUUGGGACUGUCCUUAAGAACAGAGUUUUUGUAUGUUAUCCAAAUAAGAUACUACCGUGCAUUUGGCCAAAAACCAAUGGACCCUCUCGACUUAUUAAUCACCUAGAUCUCUGUCCAGGAGUUGCAACUAGUUUCUGGUGUUUGUAGGAAAAGUGUUGGCGGCUGUGUUUAGCUCUGCCCGACGGGGUAGGCUUCAGUGCGGUAGAUACACAGUGCCACGGUGUACCAAGUGGCACCCGAGUGGUGGGCUUGUGGAACCCAGUGCACAUCGUUUGAGGUCGUUAAGAAAACUUCGGCCGGAAUUUCUUGCUGGUUCAGUCUAAAAUAGGCGAUAAACCUGGACUAGGGUCUUGUGUGGUUAACGGUCGUGGCCGGCACCCAUGGCAGUGCUUCUGCUUGAAGGUUGCCGACAUGCAUGAUGUGCAUAUGGUGAUAAUUGGUGAGAGCGUGUGUGAAGAAGUAUCCGCCUGUAUGUUAGCCAAGAUAAGCGUGAGUGCUAUGGAUGGCCUUGUCAUAGGGAGACGGGAGUGGAUAUGGACUAAUUGGAAAAAAUACAUGGUACAUAGACAAUUUGAAAUGGAUACUCUAAAUUUGCAAGAGAAGCCUGAGUGCUAUGGAUGGCCUUCUCGUAGGGAGACGGGAGUGGAUCCACAGUGAUGUAUUGAUAUGGGGAAUAUGUGGACUCGUGUGCGCUACUCCACCUCAAUCAAAGUGUUCGUGGUCAUACUAUAGGUUAGCGAAGAGUCAAAGCUGGCUUGCUGCAAUUAAACUCCACAACCCCUUUGUUGACAAUGAUGCAUACGUAGAUAGUUCUAGUGUAAGUCCUGCUGAGUACCUUUAUACUCAAGGUUUCUUAAUUUAUGUUUUCAUAGAGGAGACAUUACUCUCGCUUUUUUCUUCUACACAAUGUUUUUGAUGUUGACUAGAAUAGCUUGGGAAUCCCAAACAGAGGUCUGGCUCCUUUGGUAGGGUCAUUGUAGAUUUUCAGUCUCCUCCAGCCAGUUUUAGUAAAUGUCUGUACUCAGACAUAUUAUGCUUCUACUUGAUGCUUGUAUGACUUGAGUGUUGAGUCAGGUGACCCCUAUUUGUAAUAUCAUACUAUGUUGACUCACGCGAGUGUUUAAUAAAUGCUUGAAUCAUAGAGUUAUGUUGUGAUGCCAUGUUGUAUCUACAUAUAUCGUGCAUAUUGUGUAUAUGUUUUGAAAUGCAUUGUAUGUGUGUGAUUUGACACCUAGUUGUAUGCCUUUAGUAGCCUUCUUUACGGGGAAAUGCCUCUUUGUGAUUCCACUGAGCCUUGGUAGCUUCCUACUGCUCUGAACACAUUGAUUGACUAGUAUAUAUCCUUCUUUGUUGUUGUGUCUGUCCCCACGGGGAAAUGUCAAGCGGUGUAAUGGAGUCCAUGUAGCUUGCUACGACUCGUCUACACACGUUGAUGACAGACACCUACAUUGGUGGGUUACGUAUGCAUGUCCCUGUACGGUGCUGCCACUUGGGUGUAUAACUAGUCAUGUCGACCCGUGUUCCCUGGCAUAUGAUUGCUAGCGACACAUUCAUACACGUGAGACAAAAGAUGCAAAUUGUCUCGGCCAAGG